CGACAGGAAGAAUGCAUGGCACUGCUUCCUGAGAGGCUCUCCAGAGUCAACAGUUGGUACAAUUCAAAUCACCUGGAUGCUUAUCUUCAUUUUCCUCAAUCCUAGAUGGCAAGAAGCUCUGGAAGAACCUUUGAAGACUUGGCCCUUGG